AUAAUAAUAAUAAUAAUAAUAAUAAUAAUAAUAUCCGCAUUUGCCGCUUAAUAGCAAAGCUAUUCAACACUAUUUAUGGAUACUAAAGACCGUCACUUAAGGUAAUCAGCCUUUAGUUCAAAUAUCUAUGCGGUGAUUUAUAACAAUAAAUUUAAUUAGGGCCGGGUAGUAAUAACCUGUGUUUAAAAACCACUAAAAUAAUUAUGAUAGGAAACAAUUUACUGAACGUUGUGCAUUGAGUUAACCUAUAUGGUUAAAUGAUCGUAUGUAAGUAGCAUACAGAGCGAAAAACCGCAGAAAUAAAAUUAAGCAAAGUCAUGUCAAACUCUCUACCCUUAGAGGCUUAACUUAGCCUACUUGCUCAAACCAUCAAGUUUGCAUGGCAACACCUCAUAUUUGGAAGUAAGUCACACUACCUGGCUGUUUAGAAAAAAACGACAUUUUAAACAUCGACCUUUGUAUUUAAUGAGAUGGUCUUUAUUUAUGCGAUUUAACUGUUUGCAGUUUGAAUCGUCAUAGCAUUUUAAACACUAGUUUUGCCUUGACGUUCACCUAAAAUAGUAACUACACUCAAGAGUGCCGAAAUCUGCACGGCAACAAACCGCCAUGAUCGCAUUUGCUGAGCGCCCUAGUAACUGGCGCACGCAGUUCCCGUCCAAUAAAAGAGCGCGUGUCUCGGUCACCCCGCGCGCACUGCCGUUAAACAGCGUCAGUAGUUUCACGGGAUUCCCUGACAGCUGAAACAGUUUAGGCGACCGUUACGUUUAAACGGCCUCUGGGGUUACGCGCAAACAGAUGUCAAGGUAAACGGACCAAAAGACGGCACAGUUUGACACGGCAGUCUCUGAAGUGGCUGCCUCAACGUGCUGGCCUUGUGAUGUUCCACUUCUACAAUUCAAGCAUCCCGAUCAUUAUUUUACAAAAUUUACUCGACCUUUGUUUAACGAGUCACAGAUGGUGACCGUUUGUCUUUCGGUAGCUUGUCUGUGAGGUUAACAGGAAUCGGAUUAAUAAGAGCAAGCACCUGUUGAGGGUAGGCUGCUGUAAAGUCCAGAUCAAGAGUUUGUAUAAGGAGCAAGGCCAGUGUGUAUUCAUUUGUCAAGUCGGAGUACAAAUUUUCACAAUGUCCUGGCUCAAGACGAAUCUCUCCAAAUACCAGAUGAGACGGAUCCUGAGUUUAAAGGUUUAAAUGGAAACGUGUCCGCAGACUGGCUCGCUACGACCUAUACUAUCUGAAAACUUAAAUCAAUUGCUUUAAGUUAUUGACACGGCUGGACAGCUACGCGAAACUGAAUUUUUUACUAGUUCUUAUGUUUUGAAACGUCUUCCAUCCGACAAAUAAAUUGAAGAAUUUAGACCUA